AGGUACAACAUUCAUAAGAACGGACACAAAUGGAAAAACUGGCUAUUUUAUCAAGGCUUUGACUGGAAGUGUAUGCUUCCCUUUAAGGAGUCAACCUCCACUUGCAGAGCUGAAAAAGCCCCAUGGGAAGAACUGGCCUCAUACCUUGUCUACACAGUCCCCGCACAGGGUUCCUAACCUUUGGUCAGUAAAGAAUGUCACUUUCUAACAGGUCCAGGAGCUCCAAGUUUAUCUUGGGACCUUAAGAGAAAAGGAUCACCCAACUCACAGGUAUUUGAAGAUACAAACCCAUGCUGGGCUCAGCUUUAAGAAGUCUUAUCUGAGAUUUCUUGUGGAACAGAGUUCCAUCGAAGCCAAUCCAAAAGGACUAUGCAGAAAUAAUUACUCUUGCUGAACUUUAUGCAAAUAACAAGGCCAAAUAUAAGACUAAGGUUUAUUCUACAAACAACACGGUCCUAUCAUAAUUUGUUUUUACCAAAAUCAGGACUAGAGAGAGAAAAUAUGCUCCAAAGCUUAUCAUACAUUUGUCAUUAAAUCCUAGUCACA
rnacentral:lncRNA from 1 species